rnacentral:tRNA from 1 species
GCCGGAAUGGCUCAGUUGGUAGAGCGACGCAUUCGUAAUGCGUAGGUCGUGGGUUCGAGUCCCAUUUCCGGCU